rnacentral:rRNA from 1 species
AUUGAACGCUGGCGGCAUGCCUUACACAUGCAAGUCGAACGGCAGCGCGGACUUCGGUCUGGCGGCGAGUGGCGAACGGGUGAGUAAUGUAUCGGAACGUACCUUUCAGUGGGGGAUAACGUAGCGAAAGUUACGCUAAUCCCGCAUAUUCUGUGAGCAGGAAAGCAGGGGAUCGCAAGACCUUGCGCUGAUUGAGCGGCCGAUAUCAGAUUAGCUAGUUGGUGAGGUAAAGGCUCACCAAGGCGACGAUCUGUAGCGGGGCUGAGAGGAUGAUGCGCCACACUGGAACUGAGACACGGUCCAGACUCCUACGGGAGGCAGCAGUGGGGAAUUUUGGACAAUGGGGGCAACCCUGAUCCAGCCAUGCCGCGUGAGUGAAGAAGGCCUUCGGGUUGUAAAGCUCUUUCGGCCGGGAAGAAAUCGUACGGGUUAAUACCCUGUGCGGAUGACGGUACCGGCAUAAGAAGCACCGGCUAACUACGUGCCAGCAGCCGCGGUAA